UAACCAUCAAGAGUGGCUGAGAGAUCUGGCUCGACGACGCCGCAGCAACCGCCUUAAUCCGACGAUUCGGUAACGAAUCAGCGCGAAGGACGGUGCUACCGCCAGAACCGAUGGAGU
rnacentral:ncRNA from 2 species